AGUGAACGCUGGCGGUAGGCCUAACACAUGCAAGUCGAACGGCAGCACAGUAAGAGCUUGCUCUUACGGGUGGCGAGUGGCGGACGGGUGAGGAAUACAUCGGAAUCUACUUUUUCGUGGGGGAUAACGUAGGGAAACUUACGCUAAUACCGCAUACGACCUACGGGUGAAAGCAGGGGAUCUUCGGACCUUGCGCGAUUGAAUGAGCCGAUGUCGGAUUAGCUAGUUGGCGGGGUAAAGGCCCACCAAGGCGACGAUCCGUAGCUGGUCUGAGAGGAUGAUCAGCCACACUGGAACUGAGACACGGUCCAGACUCCUACGGGAGGCAGCAGUGGGGAAUAUUGGACAAUGGGCGCAAGCCUGAUCCAGCCAUACCGCGUGGGUGAAGAAGGCCUGCGGGUUGUAAAGCCCUUUUGUUGGGAAAGAAAAGCAGCAGGUUAAUACCCCGCUGCUCUGACGGUACCCAAAGAAUAAGCACCGGCUAACUUCGU
rnacentral:rRNA from 1 species